rnacentral:lncRNA from 1 species
CCCCAGCAAGCAAGGAAAGUGGCAGCCUGUAUUGGGAUGCCAGCCCAAAAGUGGUGCUGAAGUGCUGAAGACUGAGGAACACAGGCAACACUUCUGCACCAGGAAUCUUUGCAGAGAAGAGAAAGCAGCUUUAGAAAGGACUGCAAGUCCUGAAGGAGACGACUGCCACAGGAGCAGCUGCCAGUAAAUCCUGCCUGAUGCUAGUAUCUGUCAUCUGCUCCCCAGAUCUCCAGGGUAUAUGUCUGGUCCUCAAACAAGGAGAACACAGGGUAUAGCUCUGGGGGAUCUGUUCUUCCAGCUUCAAUUCUGCCUAUUCUCUGUAUCUCAAGGACUGGGAAAGAAGAGGAGCCAGAGAUGAAAGAGUUAAGAAAAAAAAUGCUUAGUUGACUUGGUCUUAUCCUUCCUCCCUAACAACUGUCUUCUACAAAGCUGGUGAAAACAAUAUCAUUUAACCCAGGGGAAAAGGGAGUCUCUUAGAUCUGGCAUCAUGCCUUAGCAUGCAAAAUAGGCUGUAUUUUUGUUAAUUUUUGUUCCCAGUGAGCCUUCUAGCUCUCACAGGGAGCACAAUUCAUUGAAACUGGUGGGUCUAGUUAUUGCUCUGGUAACAGUUCCCACUGUCCAAGGAAGCAGUUAAAUGGGGUUUUGUUUGGUAAGGCACAAACAGAUGCUAGACCACAAAUGCCAAAGAGCAUUGACAUAUAAAUCCAGGGUAUGGUACUCCCUGGAGUAUAUCAUUGACAUGAGGUAAGCAGGAAGAAAAGCUCAGUAAUUUCUAGUGGGGACAUAGCAGAUAAAGUAAUACAGGGAAAAUAUGUGGGCUAAAUGCUCUUUGCCAAUCUAUAAGCAAGGAUGUUCAAGCCAGAAACAGGAAUUCCACAAGGGCACUUUGACCACCUUCUUGUGAAGCUGGUGGGGAAAUGGCCCACGCAAUGAGAGUUAAACCUUUGCCUCUGCACUCUUAGCAGAAACUAAUGUGAGGAUAAUUUUACAAAUAUAUGCAUCAGAUAUUUUCAAGUCCCACAGAGCAGUCACACUACAGCCUUUCCCAUAAUUUAAC